rnacentral:rRNA from 1 species
AACGAACGCUGGCGGCAGGCUUAACACAUGCAAGUCGAGCGCCCUGCAAGGGGAGCGGCAGACGGGUGAGUAACGCGUGGGAAUCUACCCAUCUCUACGGAAUAACGCAUGGAAACGUGUGCUAAUACCGUAUACGUCCUUCGGGAGAAAGAUUUAUCGGAGAUGGAUGAGCCCGCGUUGGAUUAGCUAGUUGGUGGGGUAAAGGCCUACCAAGGCGACGAUCCAUAGCUGGUCUGAGAGGAUGAUCAGCCACACUGGGACUGAGACACGGCCCAGACUCCUACGGGAGGCAGCAGUGGGGAAUAUUGGACAAUGGGCGCAGGCCUGAUCCACCCAUGCCGCGUGAGUGAUGAAGGCCCUAGGGUUGUAAAGCUCUUUCACCGGUGAAGAUGAUGACGGUAACCGGAGAAGAAGCCCCGGCUAACUUCGUGCCAGCCGCCGCAGUAAUAC